UGCACUGACCAGAAGAGGCUCAUCUACGACACUUGAGGACGAUGAAGGAGUGCAACAUUCAGAUAUUUUUAGAUAUUUUACGGCCGGUUCAGAUCAGACAAGAAAGGGUCAUCUAGCAAAGGUUGUCGGGAUGUCGAUCUUUUUGUCAAACAAGUAGAUGGGAAAAAUGUUACUGAUUCAGAGAAAUUGAGAUUUUGACUUGGAGAAAGCCCAGCUUGACCUAGGGCAUGG